AAGUCGUAACAAGGUUUCCGUAGGUGAACCUGCGGAAGGAUCAUUACAAAUCGUGGCGAUUCCAUCGCCAUUUUUUUUUUCGUAUUUAAAACAUCGCUCUUGUAAAAGAAAUUAUUUUUUAAUUAAUAUAAAAAAAAAGAUCACUUUCAACAACGGAUCUCUUGGCUCUC
rnacentral:misc_RNA from 1 species